GGCAGAAAUGCUCUCCAUCAUGUUCCAGUCACAAUGUCUUACACCAGACCCACACACACUAUACAGAGCACAGAUACACAUACAGAGGGGUGUAUGUACAGAACAUGGCAGUGGGGCACAGUGCUGCAUGGAGAACCCUGGCUCGGCUAGGAAGGGCUCAGCACUUAGCAGCAGCCUAAGCUGUUCUCCCCUUGCCCUGCUCAAGUGCUGUUGUUGCCUGUCAGCACGGCAGCUGCUUCCACAGUCCCUCCUGGCUCAUGCACACCACAGCCAGCCCCGCAGAGAUGGUGGAGGGCACCCAAAGGGCUGGGUCUGACGGCUCCUGCAUGCUGCUUGUGGGGUGCACAGCAAAACAGAGGGGUGCAGAGUGUCUCUACAGCAUCAGGGAUAAUAAAACCUUCUGCUGGCAUGUCUGCUAUAUACACAUAUGUACAAUCACCCACCCCUUCCCUCCUGACCAUGCAGUACAGUGCGGGGUAUUUGGGCUUUGCGUCCCUUGUCUCCUUCUGGUCAGGGCACGGAUCCAGACAGGCUCCCCUGAUCCCAGCUGGAGCCACGUCCUUGUGCUCCUGGGUUUUGCUGUCCUGGUCCUGGAGCAAACAGCAGGAUGAAAUCUGACACGAGGAGUGUGCAGCCGGGAUUGCAGGCUGACAGGGAAGGGCAGAUGUGUCCUCAGGCCAGAAGGCAGCAGUUUGCUUUUCAGACGCAGUGAUGGGAAGGUCGACUUCGAGGUCUGCUGCGCUCUUUGCCUCUGCCUUGAUGGUGAUCUCCCCUCUGCAAAGCUCUGGCAGGGUUGGGACCAGGAGGACGCACGGUCUUCCUGAGAGGCUGGAAAUCAGCUUGUUCAUAGCAAGGGCUGAAACAACCCCAGGAGCACAGCACAAGCUGCAGCUCUCAGGCUACGCACCCCAAUACUCCCAUCACAAACACCAUCGGCACUGCAGAGCCCCAGUGCCCUUAUCUUGCAGUCCCAGGGGCUCAGCUCUUGCAUCUUUCUGGUGCUGUUUUGGGGAGCUAUUGCUGUCAGUGUCCCCAGCAUGCUCCCUGGUAGCCCCCUGGUGUGACCAUGGGGCCAUGUGCUGCUUGGGGCUGCUCCAGCUGGGUGCGAGCAAGGCUUUGCAGGCAAUGGUCUGAUGCUGGCUCCUACCCUUCUAUCAACUGAGCAGGGACAAAGGUGCUGAGGGGAUGGAGAGGGAUGUGGGAACCAAGCCUGGCUCUGAGCAGUGGUGUGGAUUCAGAGCCUGGGAGGCCUUGGAUCUUCCAUCGAGGACAAGGGAUGGAGACUUGGGGAAGCCCUCCAGAGAUAGGACAGUGCAGUUUGUUAGGAAAUUGUUAUUUUAAAGAAGUCCAAGGCAGCUUUGGUGCUGAUAUCAGGAGCUGCAGAGAUGCAACAGGAAGGCUGCGGGGCUGAACCCAGCCUCUCAUUGCCCAGCAGGCUUUGGCUGCCAAGCACCAGGCAGAACCAGCCACCACAGUGCCAGGAGCCAGGCUGUGUCCUAGGAUGCAAUGUUCCUCAUCUGUGUGUCCAGCUGACGCAUCGCUGCAGCCCUGACACUAAAGCCUUCCCCUGGCAGAGGGCUGCACCAGGCUGGCAAUCACGCUCC
rnacentral:lncRNA from 7 species